rnacentral:rRNA from 1 species
GGAAUUUUGCGCAAUGGGCGAAAGCCUGACGCAGCGACGCCGCGUGGAGGAUGAAGGCCCUUGGGUCGUAAACUCCUGUCAGGUGGGAAGAAAAGCCCUUGGUGAACAGCCGAGGGACUUGACUGUACCACCGGAGGAAGCCCCGGCUAACUCCGUGCCAGCAGCCGCGGUAAUACGGAGGGGGCAAGCGUUGUUCGGAAUUAUUGGGCGUAAAGGGCGCGUAGGCGGCCGGCCAAGUCGGGUGUGAAAUCCCUCGGCUCAACCGAGGAACUGCACUCGAUACUGGCUGGCUAGAGUCCGGGAGGGGAUGGUGGAAUUCCCAGUGUAGCGGUGAAAUGCGUAGAUAUUGGGAAGAACACCGGUGGCGAAGGCGGCCAUCUGGACCGGCACUGACGCUGAGGCGCGAAAGCCAGGGGAGCGAAU